AAGCCACCCGAUCCUUAUAUAAAUGAAGCGUGGGGGCAGCUUUCCAUUUCUGUAACGGGUGAAACGAAAAAAGGAAAUGGCCAACGAAUCUUCUUCCUAAGAAUAUCGUCCAUUGCAGGAUUUUUGGUGCGCAUUGAGUUGGGUAAUUUUUGAACCAGUGGCCUCUCCGUUGCGUUUCUCGCCCUUUAGGGUUCUAUAAUCGGUCUGCGACCCCUGGAUACCGAAGGCAUCCUUGGAGUGAUCUCAUAGUUCCUACGAAGUGGAGACGAUGGGGUUAUAUAAUAAAGUUUUUCGAUAGCUAAAUUACCAUUUCAAACUCUGAAAAGAAACAUGCAUUUUUGAGGUUUAAAAGUGCUGUUGCUUUGUCGAAUAUCAGGUUGCUGACCCAUAAUAUUUUUCAGGGGCCUAAUAACUUUUUGCAAGAUUGGGUCCACAAACCACAAUCAUAUUCAUAGCCUGUGAGAAGUCCAUUUCCAUGCCAUUUCUUUCUCAGUCGAGAUCUUAGCUGCCCGAUCACCCCAUCGAUCAUUGGCGUGGCUUCUAUGAAGGUUGUUUAUAUACUUAACUUAACUUGCACUGACAACGUCGGGCUAUGACAUGAAGGAAGGUGAGAAAAGUCCAUUCGAUUUUUGCUUCACCUUCAUCCUCUAGAGGUCAAACUCAAGUCUAGUCGAGCUAAAUGAAGCUUCCACAUGCAGUGUAAAAUAAGUUUCCUGAAGGCUUAAUUGGUUAGAGGCAUAUUGAAGUGGCAGUCCUUCCUUGAUUUACAAUUUAAUUGACUUCAAAGGGAGUUGGCUUUGGUUUUGGUUUGGAGUUGGACUACAGCUAUCAUGACAGGUCAGGCGCUGAUGAGCACAUUGAACUAUUCAUGUGGCUGAGAGCCCUCACAAUCUAGGCACAACGACGCAAUUAUCAGUGGCGCGCUCUACCACUGAGCUAAUAGUCCAUCGUGCGGGCCUCCCGUUGGAGCUCGCUAUGCCAAAAAUGAGAGAAACCCUAUCCUUCUCUUUUCUUUGUUCGCUCCACAUGGAGACCUAAAAAAAGGGAUCCUAUCAAUUUGUUCCGACCUAGGAUAAUAAGCUCACGAGCUUAGUGUGGAAAUUUUCAUCUCAUGUUAGGUAAAGUAUUGAACUCAAUGAUGAUUUUAAAUAAGUA